CAACAUCAUAUGUGAUUGUAGGUCAAUGCUUAAGAGACUUGGAAGUGAAGUGAUUCACAUCUUUCGAGAAAGCAAUUAUUGUGUCAAUUACUAGCUAGCUUUCAUUUUCAGCAUUCUAGUUUAGUUCAAGCUUUAUUUGAUGAUACUCCGGGGAAGAAAUUCUCCAUAUCUGUGAUUUAACUUAAUUUAUCUAUGAUGUUCCCUUUCAG